UCUCCGUUGGUGAACCAGCGGAGGGAUCAUUACUGGAAUCGCAAGAUCCCACAACCCUGUGAACCUACCGAAACGUUGCCUCGGCGGGUGCCCGGCCUCUGCGCCGGGCGCUGCGCCCGCCGGCGGCCCCCUACUCUGUCUCUGCAGCGUGGCAUCUCAGAGUCCCAGAAAACAAGUCAGAACUUUCAACAACGGAUCUCUUGGCUCUA
rnacentral:misc_RNA from 1 species